rnacentral:rRNA from 1 species
CUCUUAAAAUAUUUUAAGUAAUCUCUGCCCUAUGAAUAAUUUUAAUGGCCGCAGUAUCUUGACUGUGCGAAGGUAGCAUAAUCAUUUGUUUUUUUAUUGAAAACUGGCAUGAAAGAGGCGACGAAAUAUAAUCUUUUAUUUUUAUAAAAUAAAAUUAACAUAAAGGUCAAAAGGCCAUUUAUAUCCCAAAGGGACGAUAAGACCCUAUAAAAUUUUACUUUUUAAUAAAAAUAUUGAUUAGACAUAAUUUUUUAUACUAGAGUUGGGCUGGGGCGGUAAAAAUAAAAACUACUAAUAUAUAGAAUAUACAUAUAUAGCUUAAUAGGACUUAAAUAAAAUAUAGAACAAGUUACUUUAGGGAUAACAGCAUAAUUCUUUCAGAUAGUUCUUAUUGGCGAAAGAGUUUAUGACCUCGAUGUUGAAUUGGAAGUCCUUAUAUAAGCAAA